UACAGAGGUCUCAAGCGUUGUUCGGAUUCAUUGGGCGUAAAGGGUGUGUAGGUGGCGCCGUAAGUCGGGUGUGAAAUUUCGGAGCUUAACUCCGAAACUGCAUUCGAUACUGCCGUGCUUGAGGACUGGAGAGGAGACUGGAAUUUACGGUGUAGCGGUGAAAUGCGCAGAUAUCAGGAAGAACACCCGUGGCGAAGGCGGCUCUCUGGGACGGUACUGACGCUGAGACGCGAAAGCGUGGGGAGCGAACAGG
rnacentral:rRNA from 1 species